GUGAUAAUUUGGAAGACAAAUGCUUAGGUUUCUCCUUGCAUUGUAGGAAAGGGGGAAUCUGAACAUCCUGCUGCCACAAAAGUUGCAUUCAAGGAUACUGAAUAUUAAUGGAGAGGAGAGACUUGGCUCCGCCCAUCACAGGUUCUACGAGCUGCCACACCCCUGAAGCCAGUCAGUAGACACAAAGGAAGCUUCCAAGAAGGGCAGCGGGGAUGUCAGCACGAGCUGAGGUCACUGCCAGGGACUGCUUGACUCUUCUGACUGGAAAUGGUUCAGCGUUUGCAAUUCAGUGUCACUUGCUUCCGGAAGUGCAGAGCACAUCACGAUCUCUUCCCUAAAGGCAUUCUCCCCAAUUGCCUCCGUCCCGCAUGGAUGAGACCUCAUAGUUUCUCUCUUGUGACACAGCUAUUUGUGUACUUACUUUAUAGAUGCAUUCUAGAUCCACUGCAUUUCUUAUCUUUCUCAUGAUCAGUUUUCUAAUGCACAAAUUGGGACCACGGUACAUACUUCACAGCCCUGAAGGGGAUAGGCUGUGUACCAUACCCCCCACACCUCUCCCUGCC
rnacentral:lncRNA from 1 species